rfam:Sorghum bicolor cultivar BTx623 chromosome 6, whole genome shotgun sequence.
CCGUGGCUGGAACCGGUGCUAAAGGGUCUUUAACACCGGCUGGUAACACGAGCCGGUGUGAAAGGGUCACCCUUUAGCACCGGUUCCAGCCACGGA